GAAACAUUAUUUGUCAAUAUCAUAACUGGAGCUGGACAUCUUUGGAGCUGAAGAAUGAGGACAGCUUUUGUAUGCUAACGUACACUCCUUAACAGUUGUACUGGAUGAAAACACAGCAAGAAAACACAUAUGCCAAUAUGCAUAGUAUCAUGGCUGCAACAACACUGAAUGGCGCAGAGUGGGAGGUUACGUGGUUGACUGCCGGCACGCGCUACUUGUAUCAAUAAAUCACUAUCAGAAAAUGUUUUGUGUGGUAAUUAUUUGUGUAUUUACGAUUUUAUUCACAUGUUUUCAAUUCUAGGUGACAAAUCAUGCAUUCCGAUUCUUGCACAGAUUGUAAUGGGCACAUAUUAUGUGUGUAAAAUACCUUUUUGAAGGUUGUACUGAUUAUGAUGAGCUAAGCUAAUUCCAGCUGUGUAUCCAUGUUUGUUGACAUACAAUGCAUUCUGGGAUUCACAUCUGUUUGACCAAAGAUGUUAUAACAAAAUGAGGUGAGUAAGAGUUCACAAAUUUUUUGAGGACUUCCGGAAAUUCAUGGUGGGAUGUGAACGACGGUAGAUGACACACCCCUUCAACAUGCAUACUACAAACAGACCAAACUCAUCUCUUCUUCUCUUAUUAUCUUCGGUUUCUGUGAGGAAAAAAUGCAUGGCUGCGCGCUGAAACUAAUGUCGGAUUACUUUCGAUUUCUAUAAAGUGUUUUACCUAGUUAUUUCGAUCAAUGGUGAGCUCACUCACCCGUGAUGUGAUUAAUUAUAUACAGUAAUUGCUAUUAGCUAAUUCAUAUUGUAGUUUACGUCAGCCGAGAGUUAGAAAAUAUGACUGCUUGUGUUGGGUCAAUCUUUCCUCAGCGCUAGGACAAAUGUAGCCUACAUUUUUCCGGUUAGGAUGAUUGUGUUAUGCUAUAUCUUCUGUGAAUAUCUGAACAAUCCAUCCAAAAAUAAACUGCUGACAUUCUGGA